rnacentral:lncRNA from 1 species
UCAAAAGGUAUCUGGACUGAAUUUGUACCAAACCAGCAGCUCUCUUUUCAGUUCCACAAUAUUUCCCUUGUCAAAAAUGCACUAAGUUGUCUCCAAGUUUGAAGCAUUCAGCAAAAAAUGGCAAGGCAGAGACACGAGAAACAUGCACCUGAUUUCCAUGACAACUAUGGUAAUGCUGUAUUAACUAGUGGAGCCACUUUCUAUAUUACUGUAUGGACAUAUAAAGCAACACAAAUUGGAAAAGAAUGGAACCUGUCACCUGUUGGCAGAAUCACCCCAAAGGAAUGGAAAGAUUAAUCAUCAUGCCAGCUGAUGUAAUAGUGAAUUUCAAAACCAACUCAUAACUGGUGCCAACUAAAAGCACUAUAUAUCUAUUAAAUAUGGCAUAUUGAAGAAAUAAAGUACACCUGAAGCAUUAAUUUUUAAAAGCCUCAGUUUGUAGAUAAAAUGCCUUGACUAACUGACAUCAACUUCAAUAUUGGUCUCCCCUGAACUUGCAUGAUUCAAACAGUAGCAGAAUGAUCAUGGUGUCAGAGAUAGAGGCCAUGCAUGUUCUUAC